GACGAACGCUGGCGGCGCGCCUAACACAUGCAAGUCGAACGGAGUCACGAGGAGCUUGCUUUUCUUGACUUAGUGGCGAACGGGUGAGUAACGCGUGAGUAACCUGCCCUGGAGUGGGGGACAACAGUUGGAAACGACUGCUAAUACCGCAUAAGCCCACGGAUCUGCAUGGAUCUGCGGGAAAAGGAUUUAUUCGCUCUAGUAUGGACUCGCGUCCACUUCGCUAGUUGGUGAGGUAACGGCCCACCAAGGCGUCGAUGGGUAGCCGGACUGUGAGGUUGAGCGGACACAUUGGGACUGAGCCACGGCCCAGACUCCUACGGGAGGCAGGAGUGGGGGAUAUUGCACAAUGGGGGAAACCCUGAUGCAGCGACGCCGCGUGGAGGAAGAAGGUUUUCGGAUUGUAAACUCCUGUCGUUAGGGACGAUAAUGACGGUACCUAACAAGAAAGCACCGGCUAACUACGUG
rnacentral:rRNA from 1 species